rnacentral:rRNA from 1 species
ACGAACGCUGGCGGCGUGCUUAACACCUGCAAGUCGAACGGUGAAGCGCCUUCCUUUUUGGUGGGUGUGGAUGAGUGGCGAACGGGUGAGUAACACGUUAGUAACCUGCCCCCUUCUUCUGGAUAACCGCAUGAAAGUGUGGCUAAUACGGGAUAUUCUGGGUCUGUCGCAUGAUGGGUCUGGGAAAGAUAUUGUUUCGGUGGGGGAUGGGCUCGCGGCCUAUCAGCUUGUUGGUGGGGUGAUGGCCUACCAAGGCGGUGACGGGUAGCCGGCCUGAGAGGGUGGACGGUCACACUGGGACUGAGACACGGCCCAGACUCCUACGGGAGGCAGCAGUGGGGAAUAUUGCACAAUGGGCGCAAGCCUGAUGCAGCGACGCCGCGUGAGGGAUGGAGGCCUUCGGGUUGUGAACCUCUUUCGCCAGUGAAGCAGGCCUGCCUCGUUUGUGGGUGGGUUGACGGUAGCUGGAUAAGAAGCGCCGGCUAACUACGUG